UAUACUUCCCUCUAGAAAGUUUGUAAAGGAAAGCACCUGAACCAGGAAGUGACAUUGACAGUAAUUUACAGCAUGUUAGUGAAGAAAGAAAGAAAAACUACCCGAAGCUUCUAAGCUGCUGUUGAUGAGAUCUGAACCUUGAACAGUGAUCCGUGAAGGUUCUGCGUCACACAUCAGCUCUGACCGAUAAAGCCCGUCCGGACAUAUAAACAACUUUUGAACCAGGGCAGGAAGGCGGUCAGGUUUUUUUUUUUCGGAGAGCCAGAGC